rnacentral:rRNA from 1 species
UACGAAGGGGGCUAGCGUUGCUCGGAAUCACUGGGCGUAAAGGGUGCGUAGGCGGCCAACUAAGUCGGAUGUGAAAUCCCCAGGCUCAACUUGGGAACUGCAUCCGAUACUGGAUGGCUUGAAUUCGGGAGAGGGAUGCAGAAUUCCAGGUGUAGCGGUGAAAUGCGUAGAUAUCUGGAGGAAUACCGGUGGCGAAGGCGGCAUCCUGGACCGACAUUGACGCUGAGGAGCGAAAGCUAGGGGAGCAAACGGG